UGUAUCGAUGCGUCACAAUAAACCACGAAGUCAUCCGUGCCCUCUGGCAAUGAGAGAAUAGGUGCGCUGCAAAGCCUAUCCUUUAAGUACUGAAAAGCGGUCUCUUGCGUAUUACCCCAUCUGUAAACGACACCUUUCUGUGUUAGCAUAGUAAGUGGUUGCGCGAUCUUUGAGAAGUCUUUAAUAAAUCGCCUGUAGUAACCCGCCAAACCCAAGAAUUGGCGUAUUUCUGUCGGUGUACGUGGUGCUGGCCAGUUUCUGAUCGAAUCAACCUUGGAUGGAUCGACAUGAAUCCCAUCCUUGUUCACCACAUGGCCUAAGAAGUGGACUUCACGAAGCCGGAAAAGUUCAACCCAUCUCCGUUGACGCAUAUUCAAAUCCUUUUGCUUAAGAAUAUGCUCGAGACUCCUGUGAUCG
rnacentral:lncRNA from 1 species